GUUUAGGUUCGAUAAAUGCUUGAAUAAGCUCGUGAGCCAUGAAUAUAUUCGUUAAAUAAAGCUUGAGCACGGCUCGAUUAUAAACGAGCCAAACUCAAAAAUAAGAGUUCGGCUCGGCUAGACUCGAUUACACCCUUAUUCACCCGACACUGAAUUUGCCCCUUUCGCAAUGCAAAAUGUGUUAGUCCAAUAGAAAAAUAUCUAAUCUGCAAAACAAAGUUGGCACGAUAAUAAGGUAGCAGUAAUAAUUAGCUCCUGUCUUUCCAAGACCAGGAACUAGUCAUGGUCUCAAUUUAGGUUUCUAAAAUAGACCUAAACGGGACCUUCGCCUAAAGUCCCCAAUUGGGACUCGCUUGACUCUUCCUUGGUCCACCAGGUCUUCCCGUUAGGUCCGUAGACCUAACUGGACUUCUGCCAGCUGUCAGGUCCCGCAGAUCUAGCCAAACUUUUCGCUAGAUAUCAGAUCACUUCUUGAUCUAUCUGGACUUCCACACCAGCUAUCAGGUCCUCCAGAGCUAGCUGGAUUUCAGUUUGGUGUCAAACCAAUCAAGUCCUGCACGCUUGGUAGUAAAAGUUAAGUCAACAACACAUUUAAUUUUAAUCCACUUGUCAUUCAUCAAAACUUAGGUUUGACAAUUGGUGUCAAAUAUAGCAAGACUAUACAUGUCUCUUCUAUCUCACCCAAACUAGUAUUGUAGAGAGCAACUAAGCAUUCAGCAUUCAGAUUGCCAUGAUCCUAGAGGAAGGUGAGUGAUUGGGGGAUCUUUCUGAGAUCAAUAAGUACCAGAUGCAUCAACGUAGUAGCUGGAUGCACCAGAAGUCAUGAAGCCUGAAAAUAACAAGUUAUAUUGCUUGCGCACUUAAACGCGGAGCUACUAAAGCACAACUUCACAGCGCAGUAAGGCAUUUUUCAGACAAUUUUUAAACUGCAUCGCAUCUCGGACCAAUAUAACGAAUUCAAUUCAUGUUUAUCUCAUGACGAACUUCACAGCUGGAAGAAGUAGCUUUAUCUAUCAUAACUAAUGGCCUCUUUGAUCAAGAUACAAGGAAUGUAUCGACAAGGUGGAGGUUCCUCCACUUAUGUUCUCUUAAUAAAUUCCUUUAUUGUUUUGGGGGGCAUUUUCAACUGUUGCGUGUGCUUUAGUUCUUAUUCUGUCCUUCAAAGCACAAGGUUAAACCACACCCUGCAGGAAUGAUGUGCAUCCGGUUUGAUGUGUUCUAUCUCGUUAUUGUGAGAGAUUAGUUUCCACGCCAAUGGCUUGAUCAUUAACCGAGUCAUAUGGUACCGGUUUUAUCAUGUUAA